rnacentral:tRNA from 1 species
GGGUGUUUUGGCGAUGGGCCUCGCGCAGCGUUUUCUACCGAAAGAUGGCCCUGAGAAAAGGGCGGAUCGAGCGGGUUUCGACGUCCUCGGCACCCU